GCCAUUUUUCUCAUAAAAAUGUUAUUUUAACGCAAAAUGAAAUAUAUCAAUUUGCUUUAAUACCAUCAAUUCUAUCAAUUUCUGCCUUUUUAGAACUUGGGUUGCUUAAUUGAUGAAGGAUGCUACUAUAAUGACUUAUUGUAGUGCUGAUUUAUAUAUUAACAUCCUACAUUGUUGAAAACAUUGAAAAAGGUAAAAAGAAGGGCUAC
rnacentral:lncRNA from 1 species